rnacentral:rRNA from 1 species
CCUACGGGAGGCAGCAGUGGGGAAUAUUGCACAAUGGGGGAAACCCUGAUGCAGCGACGCCGCGUGAGUGAAGAAGGCUUUCGGUAUGUAAAGCUCUAUCAGCAGGGAAGAAAAUGACGGUACCUGAUUAAGAAGCCCCGGCUAACUACGUGCCAGCAGCCGCGGUAACACGUAGGGGGCCAGCGUUAUCCGGAUUUACUGGGUGUAAAGGGAGCGUAGACGGCAGCACAAGUCUGGAGUGAAAUGCCGGGGCUUAACCCCGGAACUGCUUUGGAAACUGUGCAGCUAGAGUGCAGGAGAGGUAAGUGGAAUUCCUAGUGUAGCGGUGAAAUGCGUAGAUAUUAGGAGGAACACCAGUGGCGAAGGCGGCUUACUGGACUGUAACUGACGUUGAGGCUCGAAAGCGUGGGGAGCGAACAGGAUUAGAUACCCUGGUAGUC